GGCGCCAUACCGCUCAGGUGGCCUAUUAGAGCGUCCUCCUUGGAUGCGGAAUGUCGUGGGUUGGAACCCCAUCUGAGUCA